rnacentral:lncRNA from 1 species
ACUUGCCGUGGAGAGUUGAGAGUCCGUAGAUGACAGGAGCCAUACGCAUUAAAUGUGGAGUAAGCCGGAGAUCCGCAUUAAUUGUGGAGUAAGCCGGAGAUCCGCAUUGAUUGUUGAGUGAACCGGAGGUUUACAGUGGCCAUGCGCAAUAAAUGCUGAAGCAGUGGCAGGGUAUGGUCCUCAGUUGGACCUCGGAGGAGUACGGCCGUAGUAGGUGGCUGACAAGGGUAGACCUUGAGCAUCAAGAUUUUCCUAGGUCGGAAGUCUCGAGGUCGGAUGUCUUGAGGUCGGGCGUUCCGAUGUCGGUCGCCGACUUCGGCUGUUCAGGGUCGGCGAUUGUGCG